CCCUUCACUCCUGUUUCAAUAAGACUAGAAAAAAAAGGAAUCAUGUAAAAUGGUUUCUGUGUUGGAAAUUCUCCUGAAAAGGAACUUUUUCAUACAUAUAAAACUAAUAGAUUGUGUUGUCUUUGCAGAAGCUGGAAAGGAUUGUCCUCCGAUGCUGCUCCCAACUAAUGCUUUGUGUGGAGAGAUGAAAACACAUUUGACGAGGAGACCAAGACCAGAGUUGGGCAGUUACCUGAUGGCUUUUCUAAGGCUCAGGAAAGAACAGCUCUCCCUCUGCCUCUUUGAUGGCUGCUCAAAAUGCCAGCGCCCAUGCUGUGCAGUGUAGCUUUUCACCUGAGUCCGCAAAAGGCAGGAGGAGCUGGAUAUGCAGGAGGUUGGUCCGGCUGCAUGCUCGGUGGUCAAGGAGAUGCCCUGCGCUGAUCUGCCCUGGACCGUGGACCCGGGAAGCCAGUUGCGGAACACAGGCUCCGGAAGCA